rnacentral:rRNA from 1 species
GACGAACGCUGGCGGCGUGCUUAACACAUGCAAGUCGAACGGAAAGGCCCUGCUUUUGUGGGGUGCUCGAGUGGCGAACGGGUGAGUAACACGUGAGUAACCUGCCCUUGACUUUGGGAUAACUUCAGGAAACUGGGGCUAAUACCGGAUAGGAGCUCCUGCUGCAUGGUGGGGGUUGGAAAGUUUCGGCGGUUGGGGAUGGACUCGCGGCUUAUCAGCUUGUUGGUGGGGUAGUGGCUUACCAAGGCUUUGACGGGUAGCCGGCCUGAGAGGGUGACCGGCCACAUUGGGACUUAGAUACGGCCCAGACUCCUACGGGAGGCAGCAGUGGGGAAUAUUGCACAAUGGGCGGAGGCCUGAUGCAGCAACGCCGCGUGCGGGAUGACGGCCUUCGGGUUGUAAACCACUUUCGCCUGUGACGAAGCGUGAGUGACGGUAAUGGGUAGAGAAGCACCGGCUAACUACGUG